rnacentral:lncRNA from 1 species
GAUUAUACUGUUCACAGAGAAAUGCAAAGACGGAUGACACUGUUGAGACGUGUUCUGAUGAGCUGAUUUGUGUUGAUUUGCGUUGAAAUAAAUCAGCAGAUUUGCGGGAUGGCACUGUUGAACCCAUCCCGCAAAUUUGAGAAGAUUUGUGGUGAUUGUUUGGGUAAAGACGUAUAUACCCCUUACGUCUAAUACACUUUCAACAGCAACUAUUCUUGAAUUCUUUUUGCAGGUUGAAGCCAUUUCCAAGAUGAGAAAAUGAGGAAGAAUGGUGUUGAUGAUGAUGAGGGAGUGCAUGGGGCCAACCAAACGUGCAAGGAAGGGUUAAACAAGGGUUAAACAAGUGAAGAAGAAAGUGGAACGAGAGGCUAAGGGUGUCGUUGCAGCACUGUGAAAAGUUUGAAAGGAGGUGUAUCCGGAUACAUAAAUGGCGUAUCCGGAUCCAGGUUACACAACAUGUUCCAUUAACGUUGUAUCCGGAUACAAGGGUGGCGUAUCCGGAUCCAACUCCUCGAACACGACGAUCCAGAUCGACGUUCUGGCAACGACUUCGCGUCUCCGGUUCCGUCUUCUCCAGCGACUUCGCCGCUCUGGUUCGAGGUGGUCCUGGCUAGGUCACUGCUGUUCCGUGGUGGAAGGACGUCGACGGUUGCUGUUUGGGUGCUGCCGGCGGCGUUUCCGGACGUCACUGCUGUUGACGACUAGGGCGCUGAUGGAGGUUGGUCUCUGCAUGGUGGUCCGACUGGUGUGUGAGUGGUGUUGGCGACGAUGGCUUUAGUGUCGACGGCAGUGGAGGUUGGUUAAUUUCCUUUCUUUAUACACAAUUAUAAAUUUAAAUAUAACAUUAAAAAAAACAUUUUAUAUUACUAAAAUAACUAGGGGCAUUUUGGUAAUCUUUCAUUUCUACCAAUUAAACAAAUUUUUUAAUUCUAUCACAUCAAUCAAAUCCUACACUAAUUCUCACAAACUUUACCCUCAAAUCCACUCUCAAUUACCUACAAAUCUACUCAAAAAAAAAACAACAAAAUUAUCCUCAAAUUCACUCAAAUCCACUCAAAUCAUCUCCCCCAAAUCAUCUCCCCCAAAUCCAUUCAUAAGAACAGAGGCUAAAUCUAAAACAGAGAUUUAAUUUUCUAUAUGAUAUCAUGGCAAGUCAUCUAAAAUUUUAGUGUCACUUUUAAUAGAUAUUAUCAUAUCAUAUAAUUUAUAAAUAACUUAUACAUUAGUAUACAAGUUUUUAAUAUGUGAAAGUUCACCGUUAACUUAUCAGAAAUUAAUUUAACUAUUAUAAAUAAAUGUUAAUUCAAUAUAACAAAUAUAUUUUUAAUGAAAAGGUUGAUUAAUUGUAAUUAACUAUAUUUUUAAUUAAAUUUUUAUAACUUUAAUUAACUACUAUUUAUUAUAUUAAAUUCAUGUAUAAUUAUACGAAUUACUUCUUGAAAAUAAGAAAUCUUCUUCUUUUAGUAUUAAUAUGGUACUUUUUUUUUCUCUCAUCUGCUCUUUUUGUGACACUUUUUUAUUUUUCUCCGUUUUCUAUUUCUCUUAUUUCUGCUCUUCCCUGCCAUCCACUUUCUUUUUAUCUUCCACCGUUAACUUCUUCUGUUGCUUACCAUGUGUUUACUUUUUUGCAUAGAGAGAUAAUCUAAAUUUGUCUUAUAUGUAUAUAGUAUUAAAUAACGAUUGUUCUGUGUUAAAAAAGAAAAUAACAAUAUUGUAUGUUAAAAGUAAAAAGUUUUAAACUACGAGGCAGU